CCUACGGGGGGCUGCAGUUUCGAAUCAUUCACAAUGGGCGAAAGCCUGAUGGUGCGACGCCGCGUGAGGGAUGAAGGUCUUCGGAUUGUAAACCUCUGUCACUGGGGAGAAAACGCUUUGAGUUAAUAGUUCAAAGCCUGAUUUAACCCGGAGAGGAAGCAGUGGCUAACUCUGUGCCAGCAGCCGCGGUAAUACAGAGACUGCAUGCGUUAUUCGGAUUCACUGGGCGGCGGGUGUGCGCGUCAGAUGUGAAAGCCAGAGGCUUAACCUCGGAACUGCGUCUGAAACUACUCGACUAGAGUACUGGAGAGGGAAACGGAAGUCACGGUGUAGCAGUGAAAUGCGUAGAUAUAGUGAGGAACACCAGAGGCGAAGGCGGUUUCCUGGACAGUUACUGACGCUCAGGCACGAAAGCAUGGGGAGCAAAAGGGAUUAGAUACCCCAGUAGUC
rnacentral:rRNA from 1 species